rnacentral:rRNA from 1 species
AGAGUUUCAUCCUGGCUCAGGACGAACGCUGGCGGCGCGCCUAACACAUGCAAGUCGAACGAGCGAGAGAGAGCUUGCUUUCUCGAGCGAGUGGCGAACGGGUGAGUAACGCGUGAGGAACCUGCCUCAAAGAGGGGGACAACAGUUGGAAACGACUGCUAAUACCGCAUAAGCCCACAGCUCGGCAUCGAGCAGAGGGAAAAGGAGCAAUCCGCUUUGAGAUGGCCUCGCGUCCGAUUAGCUAGUUGGUGAGGUAAUGGCCCACCAAGGCGACGAUCGGUAGCCGGACUGAGAGGUUGAACGGCCACAUUGGGACUGAGACACGGCCCAGACUCCUACGGGAGGCAGCAGUGGGGAAUAUUGCACAAUGGGGGAAACCCUGAUGCAGCGACGCCGCGUGGAGGAAGAAGGUCUUCGGAUUGUAAACUCCUGUUGUUGAGGAAGAUAAUGACGGUACUCAACAAGGAAGUGACGGCUAACUACGUGCCAGCAGCCGCGGUAAAACGUAGGUCACAAGCGUUGUCCGGAAUUACUGGGUGUAAAGGGAGCGCAGGCGGGAAGACAAGUUGGAAGUGAAAUCUAUGGGCUCAACCCAUAAACUGCUUUCAAAACUGUUUUUCUUGAGUAGUGCAGAGGUAGGCGGAAUUCCCGGUGUAGCGGUGGAAUGCGUAGAUAUCGGGAGGAACACCAGUGGCGAAGGCGGCCUACUGGGCACCAACUGACGCUGAGGCUCGAAAGUGUGGGUAGCAAACAGGAUUAGAUACCCUGGUAGUCCACACCGUAAACGAUGAUUACUAGGUGUUGGAGGAUUGACCCCUUCAGUGCCGCAGUUAACACAAUAAGUAAUCCACCUGGGGAGUACGACCGCAAGGUUGAAACUCAAAGGAAUUGACGGGGGCCCGCACAAGCAGUGGAGUAUGUGGUUUAAUUCGACGCAACGCGAAGAACCUUACCAAGUCUUGACAUCCCUUGACGAACAUAGAAAUAUGUUUUCUCUUCGGAGCAAGGAGACAGGUGGUGCAUGGUUGUCGUCAGCUCGUGUCGUGAGAUGUUGGGUUAAGUCCCGCAACGAGCGCAACCCUUACUGUCAGUUACUACGCAAGAGGACUCUGGCAGGACUGCCGUUGACAAAACGGAGGAAGGUGGGGAUGACGUCAAAUCAUCGUGCCCUUUAUGACUUGGGCUACACACGUACUACAAUGGCGUUAAACAAAGAGAAGCAAGACCGCGAGGUGGAGCAAAACUCAGAAACAACGUCCCAGUUCGGACUGCAGGCUGCAACUCGCCUGCACGAAGUCGGAAUUGCUAGUAAUCGUGGAUCAGCAUGCCACGGUGAAUACGUUCCCGGGCGUUGUACACACCGCCCGUCA